rnacentral:rRNA from 1 species
AUUGAACGCUGGCGGCAUGCCUUACACAUGCAAGUCGAACGGCAGCACGGGUGCUUGCACCUGGUGGCGAGCGGCGAACGGGUGAGUAAUACAUCGGAACGUACCUUAUCGUGGGGGAUAACGCAGCGAAAGUUGCGCUAAUACCGCAUACGCCCUGAGGGGGAAAGCGGGGGACCGUAAGGCCUCGCGCGAUUAGAGCGGCCGAUGUCUGAUUAGCUUGUUGGUGAGGUAAAAGCUCACCAAGGGGAUGAUCAGUAGCUGGUCUGAGAGGACGAUCAGCCACACUGGAACUGAGACACGGCCCAGACUCCUACGGGAGGCAGCAGUGGGGAAUUUUGGACAAUGGGGGCAACCCUGAUCCAGCAAUGCCGCGUGAGUGAAGAAGGCCUUCGGGUUGUAAAGCUCUUUUGUCAGGGAAGAAACAGCAGCUCUAACACAGUCUGCGAAUGACGGUACCUGAAGAAUAAGCACCGGCUAACUACGUGCCAGCCGCCGCCGUAA